GUGCACUUAGCUCAGUGGUUAGAGCUUCACUCUUGAAUUUUGAGGCUAAAGGUUUAAUACCUACAGUGCACA
rnacentral:tRNA from 1 species